UAAGUCCAAGCUGUGUCUGACACGGCGAGACCGCGGACGGCUCAUUAAAUCAGUCGUGGUCCAAAUGGGCCAGUGUUUAUCUUACUUGGAUAACUGUGGUAAUUCCAGAGCUAAUACAUGCAACUCAUGUCCCGAUGGCGAGUCGUUCUCUUGUAGUUCGUUCUCGUUCUGACGGAUGCUUUUAUUAGACCAAACCGCUGAGGGUGCGUGCGUUCGAGCUCACACCUCGUGUGUGUUGUGAGGCCACGUGCUUGACUCGUUUAAUGGUGACUCUGGAUAACCUUUCUGACAAGCGCACGUACCCCUCCUUUGAGUGGGACGGCGCUGCCACUUUCGAGUGUCUGCCUUAUCAGCUAUCAAUCGUUCGUUAUGUGCGACCGAUGGCUUUGACGGGUAACGGGGAAUCAGGGUUCGAUUCCGGAGA
rnacentral:rRNA from 1 species